GGGGAGUUAGCUCAGUUGGUAGAGCGUUGCGAUCGCACCGCAAAGGUCAGGGAUUCGAAUUCCCUACUCUCCA
rfam:Synechococcus sp. PCC 6312, complete genome.